rnacentral:rRNA from 1 species
UGGGGAAUAUUGCACAAUGGGCGCAAGCCUGAUGCAGCCAUGCCGCGUGUGUGAAGAAGGCCUUCGGGUUGUAAAGCACUUUCAGCGGGGAGGAAGGCGUUAAGGUUAAUAACCUUGGCGAUUGACGUUACCGACAGAAGAAGCACCGGCUAACUCCGUGCCAGCAGCCGCGGUAAUACGGAGGGUGCAAGCGUUAAUCGGAAUUACUGGGCGUAAAGCGCACGCAGGCGGUUGAUUGAGUCAGAUGUGAAAUCCCCGGGCUUAACCCGGGAAUUGCAUCUGAUACUGGUCAGCUAGAGUCUUGUAGAGGGGGGUAGAAUUCCAUGUGUAGCGGUGAAAUGCGUAGAGAUGUGGAGGAAUACCUGUUGCGAAGGCGGCCCCCUGGACAAAGACUGACGCUCAGGUGCGAAAGCGUGGGGAGCAAACAGG